AUCCAGAUGACGAGUCGCAAAUAGAACGAAAUGCAUUUUAUCCUGGAU
rnacentral:hammerhead_ribozyme from 1 species